UGCCUUGUUAGACAGAUGCCACAAUAAUCCACAGCAGGGGGGUUUCAAGGAGCAGAGCAAAGAAUAACAGCGGCUCAUAUCUGUGUUGAUCUCACAACUAACCAGGGCAAUAGAAUGGGAGAGUUUCUUCAAAAGGGAGGGACUUGAGAUUUCUAUUGUAUCAUCUGAUAGUUCCUGAUGGUCAGGAAAGAAGAAGAGGACUUUACCAGGAUAUCUUGGAGCCUUUUCAGAAGUCUGAGAACUGCUUAACCAGUUGACACGGAUGAAAACAACCAUGGCAUUCUCCUCUAAGCAUUCACUGAAAGAUCGGAUGUUGGUAUCAGGAAAUAUUGGCCUCUUACCCCAUUUGAUCCACCGCUCUUGCCACUGGCCAGCCUACACAACUCACACAUCUCCCAUGGUCCAGACAUUUGUUGAGCAAAAAAAGGCAAAGAUAGCCAAUAUCCUGGCAGCACCCUGGGUGAGCAGUCAAGGAACACACAGCACUGAGAACAUCCAGGGGAAGGACAGCUGUGGGCCUCAGGAAGUAGCUCUUCCUCAACCAAACCCAGUCAUUUCUGGCUUUAUCACAAUCAUCAGUCCUCCUUCAUCUCAUGAGGAGUCACCUGUUUUCCAGAGGGUGAAGAGCAGCUUCUCACAUCAGCAGGGAAGCUCAGUUACAGGUAACUUGGUCAUUUUUUCCAGAAGAAGAGCCCCUCUCCGUGUGCUGCCAAUGAAGCUGCCAGAUGCCUCCAGUCCCAAGAAAGGCAAGCAGGUGCAACUGCAGAAGUAACUCCUGUGCCUUUGACUGCUCUUCACUGCAUUAAAAUUCCUCAGC